rnacentral:sRNA from 1 species
UCCUGCUUCAUUUAAAGUAUCUGCAUGUAAUGCAAUUUGAACAUCAAAUUCAUCAGCAACAUCUAAUGCAUGACUCAAAGCAGAUGGUGUUGCACCCCAGUCUUCAUGUACUUUUAAUCCAAUUGCUCCGGCAUUGAUUUGUUCAAUGAGUGCAGUUGGAUUUGUUGCUUGUCCUUUACCUGUAAAAC